rnacentral:rRNA from 1 species
CACGUAGUUAGCCGGUGCUUAUUCUUACGGUACCGUCAUGGUCCCAGGGUAUUAUCCCGGGACUUUUCGUUCCGUACAAAAGCAGUUUACAACCCGAAGGCCUUCAUCCUGCACGCGGCAUUGCUGGAUCAGGCUUUCGCCCAUUGUCCAAAAUUCCCCACUGCUGCCUCCCGUAGGAGUCUGGGCCGUGUCUCAGUCCCAGUGUGGCUGGUCGUCCUCUCAGACCAGCUACAGAUCGUCGGCUUGGUAAGCUUUUAUCCCACCAACUACCUAAUCUGCCAUCGGCCGCUCCGUUCGCGCAAGGCCCGAGGGUCCCCUGCUUUCAUCCGUAGAUCGUAUGCGGUAUUAGCAAAGCUUUCGCUCCGUUAUCCCCCACGAUCGGGCACGUUCCGAUGUAUUACUCACCCGUUCGCCACUCGUCAGCCUCCGAAGAGCUGUUACCGUUCGACUUGCAUGUGUAAGGCAUGCCGCCAGCGUUCAAUCUGAGCCAGGAUCAAACUCU